rnacentral:tRNA from 1 species
GGAGGGAUGGCAGAGCGGCCGAAUGCGGAGGUCUUGAAAACCUCUGGGCGCGAGCCCCGCGGGUUCGAAUCCCGCUCCCUCCG